rnacentral:siRNA from 1 species
UGAAGCAAUUCCGGGUGCGAC